UACGUAGGGUGCGAGCGUUGUCCGGAAUUAUUGGGCGUAAAGGGCGCGUAGGCGGAAAUGCCAGUCAAUUGUGAAAUCCCGGGGCUCAACCCCGGAACUGCAUUUGAAACUACAUUUCUAGAGGGUAGGCGGAGAAAACGGAAUUCCACAAGUAGCGGUGAAAUGCGUAGAUAUGUGGAAGAACACCAGUGGCGAAGGCGGUUUCUAGCUUAUACCUGACGCUGAGGCGCGAAAGCGUGGGGAGCGAACAGG
rnacentral:rRNA from 1 species